rnacentral:tRNA from 2 species
GGCUAUUAGCUCAGGUGGUUAGAGCGCACCCCUGAUAAGGGUGAGGUCCCUGGUUCAAGUCCAGGAUGGCCCACCUAAAAAAUGUGGGGGUAUAGCUCAGUUGGUAGAGCGCUGCCUUUGCAAGGCAGAUGUCAGCGGUUCGAGUCCGCUUACCUCCACUAAAAAUAUUCCUAGAACAAAUCAGCACUACGGCUUUCGCGAGAAAGAAAGAGUAAAUGCUGGAAAAAGUUCCAGCCAGAACCUUGAAAACUGCAUAGAAGAAUCAAAAGGGAUCAACAAUGAAACCAGAACCGGGAAUCAGAAACCCGGAAAAGUU